AGUGCUUGCUACUGGACCUAGCGGCGGACGGGUGAGUAAUGCUUAGGAAUCUGCCUAUUAGUGGGGGACAACAUCUCGAAAGGGAUGCUAAUACCGCAUACGUCCUACGGGAGAAAGCAGGGGAUCUUCGGACCUUGCGCUAAUAGAUGAGCCUAAGUCGGAUUAGCUAGUUGGUGGGGUAAAGGCCUACCAAGGCGACGAUCUGUAGCGGGUCUGAGAGGAUGAUCCGCCACACUGGGACUGAGACACGGCCCAGACUCCUACGGGAGGCAGCAGUGGGGAAUAUUGGACAAUGGGGGGAACCCUGAUCCAGCCAUGCCGCGUGUGUGAAGAAGGCCUUAUGGUUGUAAAGCACUUUAAGCGAGGAGGAGGCUACUUUAGUUAAUACCUAGAGAUAGUGGACGUUACUCGCAGAAUAAGCACCGGCUAACUCUGUGCCAGCAGCCGCGGUAAUACAGAGGGUGCGAGCGUUAAUCGGAUUUACUGGGCGUAAAGCGUGCGUAGGCGGCUUAUUAAGUCGGAUGUGAAAUCCCCGAGCUUAACUUGGGAAUUGCAUUCGAUACUGGUGAGCUAGAGUAUGGGAGAGGAUGGUAGAAUUCCAGGUGUAGCGGUGAAAUGCGUAGAGAUCUGGAGGAAUACCGAUGGCGAAGGCAGCCAUCUGGCCUAAUACUGACGCUGAGGUACGAAAGCAUGGGGAGCAAACAGGAUUAGAUACCCUGGUAGUCCAUGCCGUAAACGAUGUCUACUAGCCGUUGGGGCCUUUGAGGCUUUAGUGGCGCAGCUAACGCGAUAAGUAGACCGCCUGGGGAGUACGGUCGCAAGACUAAAACUCAAAUGAAUUGACGGGGGCCCGCACAAGCGGUGGAGCAUGUGGUUUAAUUCGAUGCAACGCGAAGAACCUUACCUGGCCUUGACAUACUAGAAACUUUCCAGAGAUGGAUUGGUGCCUUCGGGAAUCUAGAUACAGGUGCUGCAUGGCUGUCGUCAGCUCGUGUCGUGAGAUGUUGGGUUAAGUCCCGCAACGAGCGCAACCCUUUUCCUUACUUGCCAGCAUUUCGGAUGGGAACUUUAAGGAUACUGCCAGUGACAAACUGGAGGAAGGCGGGGACGACGUCAAGUCAUCAUGGCCCUUACGGCCAGGGCUACACACGUGCUACAAUGGUCGGUACAAAGGGUUGCUACACAGCGAUGUGAUGCUAAUCUCAAAAAGCCGAUCGUAGUCCGGAUUGGAGUCUGCAACUCGACUCCAUGAAGUCGAAAUCGCUAGAAUCGCGAACC
rnacentral:rRNA from 1 species